rnacentral:rRNA from 1 species
AUUCCUGGUGUAGCGGUGAAAUGCGCAGAUAUCAGGAGGAACACCGAUGGCGAAGGCAGGUCUCUGGGCUGUAACUGACGCUGAGGAGCGAAAGCAUGGGGAGCGAACAGGAUUAGAUACCCUGGUAGUCCAUGCCGUAAACGUUGGGCACUAGGUGUGGGGGACAUUCCACGUUUUCCGCGCCGUAGCUAACGCAUUAAGUGCCCCGCCUGGGGAGUACGGCCGCAAGGCUAAAACUCAAAGGAAUUGACGGGGGCCCGCACAAGCGGCGGAGCAUGCGGAUUAAUUCGAUGCAACGCGAAGAACCUUACCAAGGCUUGACAUGGACCGGACCGCCGCAGAAAUGCGGUUUCCCUUCGGGGCCGGUUUACAGGUGGUGCAUGGUUGUCGUCAGCUCGUGUCGUGAGAUGUUGGGUUAAGUCCCGCAACGAGCGCAACCCUCGUUCUAUGUUGCCAGCGCGUUAUGGCGGGGACUCAUAGGAGACUGCCGGGGUCAACUCGGAGGAAGGUGGGGACGACGUCAAAUCAUCAUGCCCCUUAUGUCUUGGGCUUCACGCAUGCUACAAUGGCCGGUACAAAGGGUUGCGAUACUGUGAGGUGGAGCUAAUCCCAAAAAGCCGGUCUCAGUUCGGAUUGAGGUCUGCAACUCGACCUCAUGAAGUCGGAGUCGCUAGUAAUCGCAGAUCAGCAACGCUGCGGUGAAUACGUUCCCGGGCCUUGUACACACCGCCCGUCAAGUCACGAAAGUUGGUAACACCCGAAGCCGGUGG